rnacentral:lncRNA from 1 species
GAUAAAGAGCUCUUUAGAAGUUGGUUAUAUCUUACUGACUGACACUGACUUCACCUUCAUGAUUUUCUGCCAGCUGCAUCUCUAACAGAUGAGUGUUGAUCUCUGUUACACUAAAGUGUAUGUGUGCACAUGAAUGCAGGCACUCAUGGGGACCAAAAGAGGAAUACUUCGUGCCAGCAGAAGAAUCCAGCCUCUGUGACAACCAUAGAAAUGUGCUGUUCUUUAAUCGCUGGCUGACUCAGUUGUGGUGAACACCAGAGGAACAAGCUUUUUGGAGGAACAACCAGUUUCCUGUUCCUCAAAUGAGAUACUAAGAAAGCUACAGCAAAAGAAAAGAGUUUUAUAAGUAAGUAUGAGAGACAGUGUUGGUACCCAGAAUCAUCGCAAAUGAAUUAUGAAGAAAACAUCACCACCAGAAAACUCAACAGAAGCAUUGCCAAGACGGGAACAUAUUCUCUUAAAGAGAGGCCACAGGAAUGGCUGAAACCAUGGUGUUCAUCUCUUCCUUUUAUUGAAAAUAGCCGUUUUUCACUUUCCCAUAGUACAUCCCGAUUAA